UACGGGGGGAGCAAGCGUUGUUCGGAUUUACUGGGCGUAAAGGGCGCGUAGGCGGUAGCACAAGUCAGUUGUGAAAUCCCCGGGCUUAACCUGGGAACUGCAUUGGUGACUGCAAGGCUUGAGUGUGUCAGAGGGAGGUGGAAUUCCGCGUGUAGCAGUGAAAUGCGUAGAUAUGCGGAGGAACACCGAUGGCGAAGGCAGCCUCCUGGGAUAACACUGACGCUCAUGCACGAAAGCGUGGGGAGCAAACAGG
rnacentral:rRNA from 1 species